rnacentral:rRNA from 1 species
ACUCCUACGGGAGGCAGCAGCAGGGAAUAUUGCACAAUGGGCGCAAGCCUGAUGCAGCCAUGCCGCGUGAGUGAAGAAGGCCCUAGGGUUGUAAAACUCUUUCACCAGGGAAGAUAAUGACGUUACCUGGAGAAGAAGCCCCGGCCAACUACGUGCCAGCAGCCGCGGUAAU